rnacentral:misc_RNA from 1 species
AAGUCGUAACAAGGUUUCCGUAGGUGAACCUGCGGAAGGAUCAUUAACACGUAUCCAACGUUAAACCCCCCGUGAACCUUCAGUGCGCUCGCACUUUCUUAGAAAAGGUAGCAAUCCCUGGUAAAUCAUUGCCGAACAGUUUUGAUUCAGGGACUUCGGCCGGCGACCGGGUCACUGGGCGCGAGCCCCCCUCGUCACCUUUGCAUGAAAACGGGCCUGCGCUUAAUUGUGCGGCCACCAAACUCGAACAACUGUUAACAAUGGAUAUCUUGGUUCUC